rnacentral:lncRNA from 1 species
CUUGGGAGAAGGGUGUGCCCAGGACUUUGCAUCACGGAUAUUUGACGGGUCCUGGCACUCAGUAAAUGAAUGGUCGCAGGGUGAACAAUAAAUGAAGGGGGAAAUCAACCCUGAGUCUAAAAGGCACCAGAGAGUACCAUAUGGCCCAGACUGCAAUGAAACAACAAUCAACCCCAGGACGUGGCAGCACCCCAACCCCCCAAAGAUGGUCAACGCCCCAGGCCAGCAGGAAGCAGCCUUGAGACAUCUUCGCCCUUACUUCCCUAACCUGCCAAGCCCAAUUCUCCAACUUUUAUAAUAAACAACAGCCGGGAUUAUAAGAACAAUACACCUGGAUGACCCUGACCCCCGCCCCCUAACCACGGGGCACACACCCGCCAUGCAUUGCACAGGUGCAAUGUGAGGACUCUUGCACAGGUGCAAAACCCCAGUGCGCAUAGGCAACCUCCCCUUUAAAAGGUCCUGCCGCCCAUCCCUCUCUCUCUUCCUUUUGGCUCCUCUUGGGUUGGC